UAAUACGGAGGGUGCAAGCGUUAUCCGGAUUCACUGGGUUUAAAGGGAGCGCAGGCGGAUUGGUAAGUCAGUGGUGAAAGGCUUGAGCUUAACUCGGGAACUGCCAUUGAUACUAUCAGUCUUGAAUAUUGUUGAGGUUUGCGGAAUGGGUCAUGUAGCGGUGAAAUGCAUAGAUAUGACCCGGAACACCUAUUGCGAAGGCAGCAGGCUAAACAAAGAUUGACGCUGAGGCUCGAAAGCGUGGGGAUCAAACAGGAUUAGAUACCCUGGUAGUCCACGCCCUAAACUAUGAUUACUCGACAUACGCGAUACACUGUGUGUGUCUGAGCGAAAGCAUUAAGUAAUCCACCUGGGAAGUACGACCGCAAGGUUG
rnacentral:rRNA from 1 species